CCMGCUCCAAUAGCGUAUAUUAAAGUUGUUGCAGUUAAAAAGCUCGUAGUUGAAGAUUGGGGAUUGGACGGGGGUAGGCCUUGCGGCCUCACUGACAGUGCAUCCCUUUGGAGGGGGAAGUGGUGGACGUUGCAGUAGCAGCGGCCGGCAGCUCGCCCGGGUUACUGUGAAGAAAUUAGAGUGUUUAAAGCAGGCAGGAUAGCUUGAAUACAUCAGCAUGGAAUAACAAGAUAGGACAUUGAUUGCCUUGUUGUUGGUUUGGGGGCCAGUGUAAUGAUUAAUAGGGCCAGUUGGGGGCAUUAGUAUUCAGUAGUCAGAGGUGAAAUUCUUGGAUUUACUGAAGACUAACUAGUGCGAAAGCAUUUGCCAAGGAUGUUUUCAUUAAUCAAGAACGAAAGUUAGGGGAUCGAAGACGAUCAGAUACCGUCGUAGUCUUAACUAUAAACGAUGCCGACUAAGGAUCGGCAGAAGUCGUUAGCGACUCUGUCGGCACUUUGUGAGAAAUCAAAGUUUUUGGGUUCUGGGGGGAGUAUGGUCGCAAGGCUGAAACUUAAAGGAAUUGACGGAAGGGCACCACCAGGAGUGGAGCCUGCGGCUUAAUUCGACUCAAC
rnacentral:rRNA from 1 species